UACGAAGGGGGCGAGCGUUGUUCGGAUUUACUGGGCGUAAAGGGCGCGCAGGCGGCCAUUCAAGUCAGGCGUGAAAGCCCCGGGCUUAACCUGGGAGGUGCGUCUGGGACUGGGUGGCUAGAGAUCGGGAGAGGAGAGUGGAAUUCCCAGUGUAGAGGUGAAAUGCGUAGAUAUCGGGAGGAACACCAGUGGCGAAGGCGACUACCUGGCCCAUUCUUGACGCCGAGGCGCGAAAGCUAGGGGAGCGAACGGG
rnacentral:rRNA from 1 species